rnacentral:rRNA from 1 species
UACGUAGGUGGCGAGCGUUGUCCGGAUUUACUGGGCGUAAAGGGCGUGCAGGCGGUUUGUUAAGUGCAGGGUGAAAGCUCCCGGCUCAACUGGGAGAGGUCCUUGCAUACUGGCGAACUCGAGGGAGGCAGAGGAAAGUGGAAUUCCCGGUGUAGUGGUGAUAUGCGUAGAUAUCGGGAGGAACACCUGUGGCGAAGGCGGCUUUCUGGGCCUUACCUGACGCUGAGACGCGAAAAGCGUGGGGAGCGAACCGG